ACCAAAAAUUGUAUGCUAAUUUAAACAAAACUAGAUGUCGAUAUUGUUUAAUUGACCACCAAAAGGUAAAGCGCGGCGGCAUUGGCGGAGAAGAAGACGAAGAUUUUAAUUAGCAUAUUAUGAGAAUCAACACAAAUGCUUAGGUCGCUGGAAACAGGAGAUCUGGCUGAGCAGAUAAGGCUGCAAAUUUAUGAUGGGACAGCCAAAGCGAUACAAAAUGGCAAUACCAACACACAAUUAAAUAGGAAAAAGAGUGAUGGUCGUGGAUUUAUAUACAACGAAUUUCGGCUACUCUACGCAGCAAAAUAAAUCCAAUUUCCCGAACUUUGAGUGCUGAUCACUACGUUUGAUU
ensembl:ncRNA lncRNA:CR44636 long non-coding RNA:CR44636